GUAUUGCAACACAAACAGUACUAAUGCCAAAAUGCACUAAAAUUAAUCUUGAGCUGAAGAAAAGGGAUCAAGGAGAAGGGCAAGUGGAUCUAAUAAAUAAG